rnacentral:misc_RNA from 1 species
CAGCCGCGUAAUUCCAGCUCCAAUAGCGUAUAUUAAAGUUGUUGCAGUUAAAAAGCUCGUAGUUGAAUUUCGAGAUCAAAUUGUUGGUCGUGCCUCGGUACGCACUGGCAUUAUUGAUUUCUCCCUUCUGAAGAACCUUGAUGUCAUUAAUUUGGUGUCUUGGGGAAUCAGGACCGUUACUUUGAAAAAAUUAGAGUGUUUAAAGCAGGCUCACGCUUGAAUACAUUAGCAUGGAAUAAUGAAAUAGGACGUUUGAUUCUAUUUUGUUGGUUUCUAGGAUCGACGUAAUGAUUAAUAGGGAUAGUUGGGGGCAUUAGUAUUCAAUUGUCAGAGGUGAAAUUCUUGGAUUUAUUGAAGACUAACUACUGCGAAAGCAUUUGCCAAGGAUGUUUUCAUUAAUCAAGAACGAAAGUUAGGGGAUCGAAGACGAUCAGAUACCGUCGUAGUCUUAACCAUAAACUAUGCCGACUAGGGAUCGGAUGAUGUUAAUUUUUUAAUGACUCAUUCGGCGCCUUACG